GUGCUUGUUUGGUAGCACAUACGCUAAUAUCGGAACAAUGCAGAAAAGUUUAGCAUGGCCUCUGCUCAGGGAUGACCCACAGAUCUGCGAAGCAAUACAUGUUCCC